rnacentral:rRNA from 1 species
GCUGAACGCUGGCGGCGUGCUUAACACAUGCAAGUUGAACGAAGUGGCGGAUGGGCGAGUAACACGUGAGGAACCUUCCUUUAACAGGGGAAUAACACUGGGAAACAAGUGCUAAUACCGAUUAGUGAAAGAUGGCCGCGGGCCUGAUUAGCUAGGAGGUGAGGUAACGGCUCACCUAGGUGAUGAUCAGUAGCCGGACUGGAGGUUGAUCGGCCGCGUUGGGACUGAGACACGGCCCAGACUCCUACGGGAGGCAGCAGUGGGGAAUAUUGGGGAAUGGUGCAAGGCUGAUCCAGCAACGCCGCGUGAAGGAAGACGGUCUUCGGAUUGUAAACCUCUUUCCAUCGAACAGGGUAGGUGGAGAAGAAGCGCCGGCUAACUACGUGCCAGCAGCCGCGGUAAUAC